AGAGUUUGAUCAUGGCUCAGGAUGAACGCUAGCUACAGGCUUAACACAUGCAAGUCGAGGGGCAGCAUGUUGGUUGCUUGCAACCAACGAUGGCGACCGGCGCACGGGUGAGUAACGCGUAUCCAACCUACCCUUGUCCAUCGGAUAACCCGUCGAAAGGCGGCCUAACACGAUAUGCGGUUCACGGCAGGCAUCUAAGGUGAACGAAAUGUGAAGGAGAAGGAUGGGGAUGCGUCUGAUUAGCUUGUUGGCGGGGUAACGGCCACCAAGGCUACGAUCGAGUAGGGGUUCUGGAGACGGAAGGUCCCCCACAUUGGAACUGAGACACGGUCCAAACGUCCUACGGGAGGCA
rnacentral:rRNA from 1 species